rnacentral:lncRNA from 1 species
GAUGCUCAUAAGUCUUGGUGCAAGUUGUGCCCGUCGNCUGUAAUAUAUAUAGUGAAGAUAAUGAAAUUAAAGAGAUUUUGAAUGAACUUUUUUCGGAAGAUGAAUAUGUCAAUGACUCAACUCUUUACAAAAGUAAAUCGUUUAAUAAUGAGUGUUUUUUUAGUUGGGGCUAGUGCAGAGACGACAGAGAAAAUGUUUGAGUGAGAGAGAUGAAGGAGUAAUGGUUGAGAGGAAUGAAAGAGGUGAAUAAGGGUUUGGGUUUUUUUUAGUUUUGAGAAUGAAAAUUAUCAAAAUAAGGCAAGUGUUUCUGAAUUUUUUUUCAAUUGUAGCUAGAGUAGCGAUGACAGAGAAAAGGUUGGUUGGAGUGAAAGAGAUGAGAGAGAAAGGGUUGAAAGGGAUGAGAGAGGUUGGUAAGGGUUUGGGGGUUUAUUUUUAAUUUUUUUAAUUUUGAGAAUGAAAAUUAUUAAAAUACCCUUAACCUUAAAACUUAGAAUUCAUGAUAUAUAUAAGGGUAUUUUUGUCUACUGAAAGCCGAUACACAUUGCUAAAAUGUACCAACUCAAAAACAGGCGUACGCAAGUUAGCAAACCCCAUAUAUAUAUAUAUAUAUAUAUACUUGUAUUCUUUUUUUUUUCUCAAAUCUUGUUCUCACAAUUAACUUCAACUAUUUUCUUUUAUUUUUAUAUAUUUUAUGUUUUUCUCUAUUUUUAUUUUAUUUCUAUUUUAUAAUUAAAUCUUAACAUGUUUUAAAAAAUUUCAAUAAUUUAAAAACAAUCUUCCAACC